rnacentral:rRNA from 1 species
UCUUUGGAGAGUUUGAUCCUGGCUCAGAGUGAACGCUGGCGGCGUGGAUUAGGCAUGCAAGUCGAACGAUCCAGCCGUCUUCUUUGAUGGGGCAACUCAUUGGAGAAGAUACUGGAUAGUGGCGAAAGGGUGAGUAAUACGUGAGCAAUCUUCCUUCAAGUGGGGAAUAACUCUGCGAAAGCGGGGCUAAAACCGCAUAAGACCACGGCCGGGCAUCCGGUUGUGAUAAAAAGCGGGGACCGUAAGGCCUGUUGCUUGAAGAUGAGCUCAUGUCCUAUCAGCUUGUUGGUGAGGUAACGGCCCACCAAGGCUUUUGACGGGUAGCUGGUCUGAGAGGAUGGUCAGCCACAUUGGGACUGAGACACUGCCCAGACUCCUACGGGAGGCUGCAGUCGAGGAUCUUUUGCAAUGCCCGAAAGGGUGACAAUGCGACGCCGCGUGUGCGAUGAAGGUUUUCGGAUCGUAAAGCACUGUCGGCCGGGAGGAAUCUCUGGAGGCUUAAUAAGCCUGCAGGGUGACAGUACCGGCAGAGGAAGCCACGGCUAACUCCGUGCCAGCAGCCGCGGUAAUACGGAGGUGGCAAGCGUUACUCGGAUUGAUUGGGUGUAAAGGGCGUGUAGGCGGUGCGCUAAGUCGAAUGUGAAAUCCCUUGGCUCAACCAAGGAAUUGCAUUCGAUACUGAUUUGCUUGAGCGACAGAGAGGAACGCGGAAUUCCCGGUGUAACAGUGAAAUGUGUAGAUAUCGGGAGGAACACCAGUGGCGAAGGCGGCUUUCUGGACGUUUGCUGACACUGAAAUACGAGAG